CCUACGGGUGGCAGCAGUAGGGAAUCUUCCACAAUGGGCGCAAGCCUGAUGGAGCAACACCGCGUGAGUGAAGAAGGGCUUCGGCUCGUAAAGCCCUGUUGUUGGAGAAGAAAGUGCGUGAGAGUAACUGUUCACGUAGCGACGGUAUCCAACCAGAAAGCCACGGCUAACUACGUGCCAGCAGCCGCGGUAAUACGUAGGUGGCAAGCGUUAUCCGGAUUUAUUGGGCGUAAAGGGAACGCAGGCGGUUGUUUAAGUCUGAUGUGAAGGCCUUCGGCUUAACCGGAGUAGUGCAUUGGAAACUGGGCGACUUGAGUGCAGAAGAGGAGAGUGGAACUCCAUGUGUAGCGGUGAAAUGCGUAGAUAUAUGGAAGAACACCAGUGGCGAAAGCGGCUCUCUGGUCUGCAACUGACGCUGAGGCUCGAAAGCGUGGGUAGCAAACAGGAUUAGAUACCCGAGUAGUC
rnacentral:rRNA from 1 species